UACGUAGGGUGCAAGCGUUGUCCGGAAUUAUUGGGCGUAAAGAGCUCGUAGGCGGUUUGUCGCGUCGGCCGUGAAAUCUCCACGCUUAACGUGGAGCGUGCGGUCGAUACGGGCAGACUUGAGUUCGGUAGGGGAGACUGGAAUUCCUGGUGUAGCGGUGAAAUGCGCAGAUAUCAGGAGGAACACCGGUGGCGAAGGCGGGUCUCCGGGCCGAUACUGACGCUGAGGAGCGAAAGCGUGGGGAGCGAACAGG
rnacentral:rRNA from 1 species